rnacentral:piRNA from 1 species
UCCAGGGAUGUGGAUGUGAACUGCGGUCA